UACGUAGGGGGCGAGCGUUGUCCGGAUUUAUUGGGCGUAAAGAGCGUGUAGGCGGCCAGGUAGGUCCGUUGUGAAAACUCGAGGCUCAACCUCGAGACGUCGAUGGAAACCAUCUGGCUAGAGUCCGGAAGGGGAGAGUGGAAUUCCUGGUGUAGCGGUGAAAUGCGCAGAUAUCAGGAAGAACACCUAUGGCGAAGGCAGCUCUCUGGGACGGUACUGACGCUGAGACGCGAAAGCGUGGGGAGCGAACAGG
rnacentral:rRNA from 1 species